rnacentral:rRNA from 1 species
GUGGGGAAUCUUGCGCAAUGGGCGAAAGCCUGACGCAGCCAUGCCGCGUGAAUGAUGAAGGUCUUAGGAUUGUAAAAUUCUUUCACCGGGGACGAUAAUGACGGUACCCGGAGAAGAAGCCCCGGCUAACUUCGUGCCAGCAGCCGCGGUAAUACGAAGGGGGCUAGCGUUGCUCGGAAUUACUGGGCGUAAAGGGCGCGUAGGCGGACAGUUUAGUCAGAGGUGAAAGCCCAGGGCUCAACCUUGGAAUUGCCUUUGAUACUGGCUGUCUUGAGUACGGGAGAGGUGAGUGGAACUCCGAGUGUAGAUGUGAAAUUCGUAGAUAUUCGGAAGAACACCAGUGGCGAAGGCGACUCACUGGCCCGUUACUGACGCUGAGGCGCGAAAGCGUGGGGAGCAAACAGGAUUAGAUACCAGUGUAGUCC